UGACAGAGCUCUUCAUUAGACAAGGUGAAGGUCAGGAAGCUCACAGAUGUGGUGUGUUAUCAGCGUAAGAAAUUCUGCAAAUGCUAGAAAUCCAAAGUAACACACACAAAAUGUUGGAGGAACUCAGCAGGUUCGUCUGGGGAGCCUCCUGACCUUUUUGUGACUGGAACCAACCUUUCCUCUUGCCCUAUUGCACCAGCAAAGAGGCAGAAUACAGUGUCUGUUAAUUCACGUUAUUCUAUCUGGACUUGCUUUAGUCAACGAUGAGCUGAAAUCUCUGGUGGGACGAGAACAAUGGAUACAAUGCUCAUAGUGAAAAGCACAGUUCUUCACCGGUUCUUGUGUUAUCACCAGAUGGGGAAAUAAUACAGAGGAAUAUCUUGCGUAAUGCUUCAGGAAAAUCGGAAGUGGUUUGAAACAAUUUAAAAUAUUUUCAGGGUUUUUGUGACAGCCCAAUCCUCUGGAUCCCAAAUCGCUUUGUAUUCAGAUAACUAUUCUCAAUCAUUAUCAUGCUUACCUUUGACUAAUUAUUGCUUUUCAAUCAUUCUUGUGAGAGCAGAAUAAUCAAUAAAUCCAUUAUGGUGCAAUGUUGGACUCACAACCAAAGAAAUAUAUUCAAUAGAUAUAAAAAUAUAUUUACUUAAUUUAUUUCCUUCCAUUGAUAUGUAUUAACUUUUCCAAUUCAGAUUCCAUUUAUUGUCAUUUAGAAACCACAAAUGCAAUGUAGUUAAAAAAUGAGACAACGUUCCUCCAGAAUGAUAUCACAAAAGCAUAUGACAAAACAGACUACACAAGAAAAUCCAUCUAACGUUUGGCAAUCGCCAAUCCAGAGUCCAGAGAGGCUGCUGCAUAUUAAUAUCGCGCUACUGUCUUAGCGCGUUCCCCGGAAAGGAACUACAAGUCCACCAGACAAAACAAGACCGAAAACUAAAGCUACAAGACCUGCACAAAACCACAUAGUUACAACAGUGCAAACAAUAGCAUAAUUGAUAAAAAAAAAACAGACCAUGGGCACAGUAAAAAUAGUCCAAAGAUGUUAAAGGACUAUAAGUUCAAAAGAAAUCACCACACAGUUUCCACAAGUCCCCAGGGUCCCGACAGACUCGCUAUCCCACGCCAGCGGCAGAAAGGAAUACCCCUGCUAUGGACUUCCACGGCGCCGCCCGAAUGAGCCUCGCAGACGCAGCACACAAUGAAAGCUCUGUCGAAACCAGCCUUGUAGACACAGCACACACCGAAAGUGACCUGACCGCAGUGGACUCCAAGUCCAUCAAACCUCCGAGCCCAUCAAAACCUCCGAGCCGACGACCAUCCCCUCCGGCACAGCUUCUCCAAGCACCAUCCUCUGCCGAGCGUAUUAAGACGGCCCCGCCAACAGCCAUCGGCAACGCGACCCCGAGGACUGGGGGCUUGUUCUUCCCAGCAGAGUCCCGAACCUCACAUCAGCAGCAGCAACGAAGAAGGUCUUCCUGAAGAUUUCCCGAUGUUCCUCUGUGCUCCCAUGUCCAUUUUCAAUCGAUUAUGAUUGAGCACGGCACCCCACUUCACAAAUAACAGAUAAUCAGCUCCGGAGUGGCCGCUGCAAGCUGUGUCGCGCCACCAUCUUGGAGAUCUUUUUUUGAUAUUUUUUUUUUAAAUUGCAUGACCAAGGUAACAUUAAUAUCUUUCAAAAGAGGAGGAGAUUUUAAAGGGGA